AUGGCUAAAGUUUGUCUGGUUUACCCUGGCAUUGCGAGAGUACACCCACAAUUCCACAGCUGUUGGCAUCCACCUCUACUACAAAGGGUGCGCUGGGAUCUGGAUGGUGCACUGGGAUUUGCGGUUCAAGAGAUACCUAGAGGACAAAGUGUCAGCCAUCAUUAUGGUCUUGCCUGGUACAGAUUCAACAGCUGGUUUGAAUUUAGCAUCUCAGUGGAACAUCAUCUAAGUAAAUCUCUUACAGAUUAAAACACUGGCAAGACACCCCUUUUAGAUCUGGGCAUAUUUGGCGUCAGCUUCAGACAAAUUCUUUGAAUAGUGUGCCAUUGGUUUCCACUCUUUAUCAUACAGCUGCAACUAUGCUUCUGCCUGUUAUGGGUUGUCCCAUGUCGAAGCUGCCUUUGACUGGAGUAGUUAAUACAAUGGCUAACAGACUGUUGAGCUAAGCUGCCACUCUUGGGCCCUUAACAAGGCCCAACAACAUCUGUGCUCCAAGGGUGCUGCAACAUGGCUGUUCCUGUGUUCUGACCCCAGUUCCUAAAAAAAUCAUUGGAAUAUGCAAAGCAAAGAAUUUCACUGUGCAGUAAUAUACAUGUAGCUGCUCUUCUUCAUUUGCGAUUUGUUUCCUCUCUGCUUCUCUUUUUUUUUUUUUUUUUUUUUACAACUGCUCUUUCGUUGAAAAUGUAGUGACUGGAGUAACUAUACUUUAGUUUAGUAGAAUUGAGCUUGAGUGAUUGGAUAAUUGUGCCGGUCUCUAGGUGGUCCUAAUAUAAUGCAACAAUUCAUAAUAGAUUUUUGAGUGUUUCUAUCUUUGUUUGUAUCUGUCUGACUCAUACACUUGCAAACUUGUAGACAACAUUGUCACUUUUGAAAGACAUUGUGUCCAGCUUGAUUUCUUUUUCUCCAUCACUCUAUUUUCAAUCAGCCACUGUAUGAUUGCUCUGGGAUUACCAGAAGUCUACACACAAACACACACACAUGCCAUUAACAGUCUUCAAAAUAAAAUAAUUGUAUAUAUUA